UACAGAGGGUGCAAGCGUUAAUCGGAAUUACUGGGCGUAAAGGGUGCGUAGGCGGUUAUAUAAGUUAGAUGUGAAAUCCCUAGGCUUAACCUGGGAACUGCGUUUAAAACUGUAUAGCUAGAGUACUGAAGAGGUUAGUGGAAUUUCCAGUGUAGCGGUGAAAUGCGUAGAUAUUGGAAGGAACACCAGUGGCGAAGGCGACUAAUUGGGCAGAUACUGACGCUGAAGCACGAAAGCGUGGGGAGCAAACAGG
rnacentral:rRNA from 1 species